CAAUAAAAAUCGUGCGGAUUUUUGCAUCCAGGACUCUAAAACCGUGUUGCUAGGGCCGCGCGCUACGCGGCCACAGCGUCAAGUCCAUCGGAGAGAUCAGUUGGUUCAUCUCAACGCCCUUU